AACAUAUCUACGUAUCAACCAACCGCGCACUUUGUUUUUUCCAAUCUUGCUCUGUUUAUGUGGAAGUCUUCUCUAUAACUCUCGGGUUAUAGGGUUGCCGGAAGCAUGAGCAUCAAGGCUGGAAACUUAUUAACCCAUUGUAUUAUCAUCCCCAGUUAUUUUAUUUCUUUGUCGCGGCCUAACGGCGGACUUUCUAUUAAGAAAUUUUUGUA
rnacentral:misc_RNA from 1 species